rnacentral:lncRNA from 1 species
CACACACCAAUUUUUAUUUUACUCUUUUCUAAGACGGAGUCUUGCUCUGUCACCCACGCUGGAGCACAGUGGCGCAAUCUCGGCUCACGGCGAUUCUCCUGUCUCAGUCUCCCAAGUAGCUGGGAUUACAGGCACCCGCCACCAUAACCAGCUAAUGUUGUAUUUUUCGUAGAGACGAAGUUUCACCAGCCUGGCCAACAUAGUGAAACCCCAUCUCUGCUAAAGAUAUAAAAAAUUAGCCCGGCGUGGUGGUGCACGCCUGUAAUCCCAGCUACUCGGGAGGCUGAGGCAGGAGAAUUGCUUCAACCUGGGAGGUGGAGGCUGCAGUGAGCCGAGAUCGCACCACUGCGUUCCAGCCUGAGCGACAGGGCAAGACUCAGUCUCAAAAAAAAAAAAAAGGAAAAAAAAAAGAAAAAAAAAUGUUGAACCAAUUGUGAAUUACUUAUGUAUUAUUCAUUUCUCAUGGGGAGAGUAAUGCUGUUGAAGAACAUUACAUUGUAAACUGCCUUCAUUUUUGGCUCUUUGUUUAUGUUCAGGUUUAGUUUACAAACCCAUUUAAGUAUGGAAUGAUUUAUAUGGGGUCAGGUGCUCCACAAAAUAGACCUAUGAGACCAAAAAUGACCUAGGCUAUUUAGACGACAGCAUGAAACUUCCACGUUAGUUCUCAGUCUAUAAAGGCACUUACCGGUCUCUGGUGUGGUAUGACCAAUAGAAACACCUUAUAGUUUGCUUUGGACCUCAUUUUGGAAAAAUAAUCUGCCUUUCUAAUUGUUCUGCAUAGGUUAAAAUGAUAAAUUUACAUUCUUUGAACCUAUACCAGAUUGUGGUGUCCGAGUGACCGGCACACUGUCUGACACACAGUCAGUGUGCACGUAUUUGUCUGAGUGAAUGAGGAGACCUGAGAAACCGGUGACGUGGCACAGGGAAGCCAGCUGGCCCAGGAUUCCGUACAUGGCCGCAAGCAGACUAACGCGUUGACGCUAAUUUAAUGUAUUUUACCUCACACUAAGGUCAUGCUUGAUAAAGACGUUAAACUCAACUUGUAAAAUGGUAGCCCAGUGCUAUGCACAGAGUGGGUGCUCAUUAGUGUUGAAUGAACACAUUUGUAAUACUACAUGUAAUUCCAUCUGACUGCUUUGUUAAAUUUUCAGUUAGAACGUAGAUACUGUAAAGUCCACACACACAUUAAAUCUUGUUUUCCUGAAAGUAUGGCAUCAAAAAUACUUGUAGAAAAACCUUGUCACAACUGAUUUGAAUGUUCCUAUUUUCUUUUCCUUUGACUUUGAUAUUGGCUUGUAAUGUCUCUUUUCAUCAUAUGUAAUAUCAGUGGAACAGGCAGCGCUACUCAAGUCCUAAGGAUUCCUCAGUGAUCAGUGAUCCAGGGCCGUUCAUGAACCACUGGGCUGGAUUUGACUGUUGAGUGUGGCAGUUAAUGCCCCUCAAGAAAUCAAAGGAUGUCUUAUAAGUGUCUUCCAAAAAAAAGCAAAUGCUGAAAUCCUAUUGGCAAAGUAAACUGAAAUUGGCUGCUAUAUUUUAUAUAAUCAUUUCUGCAAAUCCCAUUUUUUGAAUACUAAUAUUUGACAUGGUUAAUUCUUAUUAAUUUGUUGGAAUUGUUUAUUGUUAAUAAUGCAAAUAGAUAAUUUUUAAUUAUCCACAAGUAACAUUUCACUGUUAAUGGUUUGAAAUAGGUGAUAAGCAAACCAAUUUGAAAUAAAAUAUAAACAUGUGCCAUUGUAUUAUAACACUAUACACUUUCUUGACAGUUAAAUUUAAAAAAAAAUUUUUUUUGGUAGCAUGUAUUGUAUAUGUUUAUAGUAUAUGUAGUAAAUAAAAAUAUGGCCAAAUGUUUGGCUUGGUG